UGGGGAAUUUUGACAAUGGGGGAAACCCUGAUCCAGCCAUCCCGCGUGUGCGAUGAAGGCCUUCGGGUUGUAAAGCACUUUUGGCAGGAAAGAAACGUCGCGGGUUAAUACCCCGCGAAACUGACGGUACCUGCAGAAUAAGCACCGGCUAACUACGUGCCAGCAGCCGCGGUAAUACGUAGGGUGCAAGCGUUAAUCGGAAUUACUGGGCGUAAAGCGUGCGCAGGCGGUUCGGAAAGAAAGAUGUGAAAUCCCAGAGCUUAACUUUGGAACUGCAUUUUUAACUACCGGGCUAGAGUGUGUCAGAGGGAGGUGGAAUUCCGCGUGUAGCAGUGAAAUGCGUAGAUAUGCGGAGGAACACCGAUGGCGAAGGCAGCCUCCUGGGAUAACACUGACGCUCAUGCACGAAAGCGUGGGGAGCAAACAGGAUUAGAUACCCUGGUAGUCCACGCCCUAAACGAUGUCAACUAGCUGUUGGGGGCCUUCGGGCCUUGGUAGCGCAGCUAACGCGUGAAGUUGACCGCCUGGGGGAGUACGGUCGCAAGAUUAAAAACUAAAAGGAAUUGAACGGGGGUCAUAGCUGUUUCCU
rnacentral:rRNA from 1 species